GCGAGUGUGGUGAAAUUGGCAGACACGCCAGAUUUAGGUUCUGGUGCCGAAAGGUGUGGGGGUUCAAGUCCCUUCACUCGCA
rnacentral:tRNA from 1 species